AGGACAACUUCCUUGAAGCUUGCUGAAACUGCAUAAAAGGGUAAAUGUUGACGUUGGGAAAACAUAAGCGUUGAUAUUUUUGCGAAGAUUGUUUUUAUUUUAAAGAGUACACAUUCUAAGACUUGGAUUACAUGAGAUGUUCGCGAGUCACACAACUGACACUUUUAGCUCCGUCAUGAGGAUGAGGUCCUCCUGCUCACUAACUGGAAGGGCAGAUUGCUUUGCUGUGCUCUGGAUUUGUCCAUGAUUGUUGAGUCAAAAGUUUGAGUUGCACCCAUGUGUGUGUGCAGGUGUCAGACACAGUGAAAGACAUAAGGUGUACAUUCGUGAAUGUUUUUAAGAGCUGCAUUUAACCAGGCAUGUGAGGAGUGUUCUAUCAUCCACUUGAUUUGUGCAUCGUUGAUGGGAAGACCCAAGUCACAUUACCCACACAGGAUUUAUAGACCCUGACCUGCUCUAUUAUGCACAUUACAACAAACUUUUAACCAGCAUCUUCUGAACUAGAGCACUUAAUGAUAAACUGGCAAAAAUUAUAUACCUCAAAUACUGAAGUUUCUGGCAAUGUUCUGUCCAAUUAUUAUAGUUUUAAUUUACUUACCUCCAUUUUAAAUAUGCUUAUUGCUCAAUCGAAUGGCCACACAAAAUAUCAACAGUUGAUUCAGUGUAUUGUCCGAUACCGUAAUGUUGAAAUAGUCAAGUUGAGGGUGCAAGCGAGAAGGCUCUCUGCUGGUAAGUCUUUUUUAUUAUUUAAGGCAAAGUUACAUUUUUAUUUGUGAUUUACACUGAAUAAAGUAUAUAAUGCCUGUGCAUUACAUAUCUAUUACUUAGUGUGUUUUGCCAUUGAUAUAUGUGGACCUCCUUGAUGAUUUGGAAUAUCUGAUUAACCAAAUUAAGAAGUUUGCUGUGUUUAUACGGGUAGUUCGGCUUGGUUUCUGGUCAGCGGAAAGCCCCAGGAUGUUAGUGGUAGAUUCAGUGGUGUUAAUGCAUUGGAUGUCAAUUAGUACAUGAGCUACAAAAAUAAAAAUGGCAUAGGGCAAAUAUGAGUAGAGAGCGAAUGAGCAGCCCAAAAACAAGUGGUGGAAGUGGAUUCAAGUUUGGGGCCAGCACUCUCCACAUCUGGUCAAAGUGGGGUUGUACCAUUAGGAUGAUCUCUAUUUGAACCAUACUGGCACAAGCUGCAUAACUAGAAUGUCAAGAGCAUUUUAAAUCGAAUGUUUUGGGGUUAGUGAUUAAGUUGGGAAGAUGUGAUAGAGGAGAGUAAAAGAGAAUGGUAUUAAUCUGGGACAUGCUGUAAUAGAUUUGUAUUCUAUAUGCCUUCCUAUCAGGCUAAAGGUUAUAAAGAACAGAAAGACAGUAUCUGAAUACACAUACUAUUCAAAACAAUACAAACUAUUUUAAAGAACAAAUCAACACAAUAUGAAUAUGCUGGCUAUCUGACCAAUGUUGUGGCUACAGGGUCUGAGAGAGAUUGGGACCCAAAUAUUUAAGGGCAUGUGAUCUUUUAGAUGGAAAGGAAUCUAGGAAAAACUAGAGGUUAAUGGAUGGUGGCAAGAGCACAAUCGAGAGGGAAGGCCUAAAUUUGCGAAGCCAGGAUAUUAAAGCAGGUUUGGUUGAGAUGAGAAAUGAAGGCAAGAAGUAAUUUUGUAAGAGGCAGCAUCCUAGAACUUUUUUUCAAGAUUGUUGAUCAAGAAUCUAUCUGCGGUGGAAGGUUAAUGGGGAUAUGUAAACUAGUCAAACCAACCAUGCUCUGUCAUUCAUAAGAUCAGGCUCAAGGGUCCAAUUCCUUCUAAUUGUUGUUUUAUGAGCUAGCUGAACACUGAUUGGAUUUGAGGCAGGCUUUCUGGUGAGUGUGUUGAAGGUAGUGAUGUUAACAGUAGGUUAUUUGUUUUACCAGACACAAAUAAUGGUGUCAGACGAUGGGGAUUAUAUUGGUCAUGAGUUCCUGAAUGAGUCAGGUUUUAAAACAAUUGGUUUUAGUCUCUCUAGCCAGAGGUCCAAUAUUCGUGCUGGGAGAUAAAUGGCAAUAUUACCACUCCUCAAGUAUAAGAGGGCGAUGCUUCUAAGCUCCUGGUCAAAAACUCAUUCUUUGUUCUGAGAUAUGCCUUGGGCCAUUUUUUUUUUUUAGAUUAGAUUAGAUUAGAUUUGUGCCACUAAAACAUAAUGCAUUUCAAUAACUCCAUGUUCAGACCUUGCUGAAGAAAAAUAAUGUUCCAUGUUGGUUUUACUUGUUAGAAUGCAAAGGUAUGAAAUUCCUGGAGGGUGGUCUAAGCUCCAUCCUGGUUAGAACCUUUCAUAAUGUGAAAAAAUAAAGAACUGGAUGCUGAGGAUCUGAAACAGAAACAGCCAUUGCUGGAGAAACUCAGCAGAUCUGGCAGCAUCUAUGGAGAGAAAGCAGACUUAAUGUUUUGACUCCAGUACAGAAGGUUCAUGGACUUCAUAGUAAAUGUGCUAUCUCUCCUCAGAUUCUGUUGGACUUAUUGAAUGUCUCCAACAAUUUCGACUUGUGAUGUGAUUGCCAGUCGUAAAUAGUCACCAAUAAAGUUAAUCUCAAAUCUAGCAUUAAAACAAGAUGAUCUUUCCCCUUAUACAUGUGACACUAGCAAUAAACAUUUUUCAGAAAAGAUUUACCAGGAUGUUGCUGAGAAUGGAGGGUUUGAGUUAUCAAAUGGGGCUGGAUAGACCUGGGACGACUUUUUCACUAGACUGUAAAGGUUGUGGAGUAACCUUUUUUAAAUUUGGGUUUAUAAAAUCAUAAAGUGAAUGGCAGGUGUCUUUUCCCAAGGGUAAGGGAUUUCAAGAUUAUGGGGCAUAUUUUUAAGGUGAGAGGAGAGUGUUUUUUUAAAAAAUGACCAGGGGCAUUUUUUUUUUUUAAAGUGGUCCAUCUGUGGAAUAAACUUUCGGAAGUGGUGACAGUAACUGGGACAGUUAGUGUAUAAAAGACACUUCGAUGCGACCAUGAAUAAGAGCAGUUUGAAAGGAUAAGGGCAGGUGGAAUGAGUUUAGUUUGGGAUUAUGGUCAGCAUGGACUGGUUGAACUGAAGGGUCUAAUUCUGUGUUGUGUAACUCUGUAUUUACUGUAGAAGAAUACAAUACAGUAAAUUGAAUAUUUAUUCAUCAUGUUAAUUGUAUUCUGGAGUGGAUUUAAACUGGAGACCAAUCAAACUGUUGUAAUGUGUAAUAUUUAGAAUUUUUUUUAGUUUAUGCAGCUAUGUUUAGUUUCUAAGGUCUUUUAAAAAUUGAGAAUAUUAUCUUUGCUAUUUUAGACUGGACAACUAUACUGUUCAUAUUAUAUUGUAAUUCUUAGCUUGUUUUCUACUCCCAGAAGAUUCAAUAAAACAGUUUAACCACAAAUGUAUUUCUGAUCUCAGCCAUUCAUUCAUUAUUAAGAUAAUUAAUAAUUAAUUGUUUUGCACAACUGAUUUUGGUACAUUUUCUUUCCUUGAUAAAGAAGAGCUGCAUAAAAUUUUGAGAAGAAAAAUAUUUCUAUAUGGUGAUCCUGUAGUGAACUAGCAGCACAUAAUGGUUUGUGAGUUGUACGGAGAUGCAGGCCAUAUUGUGCUGCCACAUGAAGACAGGAGAAUAAUCUGAUUUCAUUACAAUGUCUUUUCAUCUUCAAAAUCAAAUUGCUCCCUGGUGCUUUAGUCAUGCUAAACACUGAAAGCAAAACACCAUUCUGAUGUCAGCAGUGCCUUAGCAGCACGUAAAUAUUGGAGUUAAGCUCCUGUGAAUGUCCCCAAUAUUGAUUGUGCUGCUGGAGCAAGGCUGACUGCUUCUGCCACUACAAGGAGUUGCACACUCAUCAUUUGUGAUGAGUAAGGUAAUGGUUAUUUUUGCUGUAUGAGAAAUCUUAACAUUGCUUUGUAAUCUGCCACUAAGCGGAUAUCUUUUCGUAUCUUCUUUGUAACUGAUUUGUAAUUUGAUACAAUUUACAAAAUGUAAUUUAAAAUGCUCAUGUUAACAUAUAAAAUUCUAAGUCUCCAAACAUGACACAAACUUAACCUGGAUACUCAUCAGUUCAUCCUAUAAAGCAGAGAGCAGCUGAAAUUACUACCACAACAAUUCUUGUAUACCAUACUGAAAACCAAUACUCUUGUAUUAGUUUAAAAUAAUCCAAUUUGUGUAUUAUUUCUUAUGGUAACUGUAUUUUAUCUUGUUUUAAUUAUGAAAUAAACAAUUAAAAAUCAACGAACUACUGCAGCUCACAGAUUUAUUGUUUUAUUUUGUACAAAUGUUGCCAUUUAGAGUUGAGUAGUGGUCAAUCUUGAGUAAAAGUUGACUCUUCAUUUCGCUGAGAAAUCCAAAUUCGACAUAGAAUCAUAGAAACCCUACAAGGCAGGCAGAGGCCAUUUCGCCCAUUAAAUCUGCACCAACACUCCAAAAAACAUCCCAUGCAUGUACAUGCUAUUCCUGUAACCCCACAUGGAGUUUUUACCAUGACCAAUCCACCUUGCACAUCUUUUGGACUGAAAAGAAACCGGAGCACUCAGAGGGAUCCCACGCAGACACCACGAGAAAAAUGCAAACUCUACACUGUCACCCAAGACUGGAAUCAAACCUGGGUCCCGAGGACUGCGAGACAGCAAUGCCACCUGCAUUUACCACACAUUGCUGAAGUCAAACCAGCCUUCAUCCAAAUGCAAUUAAUUGAUAGGAUCAUGGAAUAGCAUGUUUAGUGAAGGCAACUGUUCAGGUCCUGUGUGCACAAGUUAAGGUUCCUUUUAUACAAAUUUGGGAGAAGGAUUGGCAGGAACAGUCUCCAAUCUGACAAUGUGGGCAGUGAGUCAAUGGGAGAAAGUGGAUUUCAACUCCACUAUUGUGUAAAUAUUGACCCUCUUUUUUUUUUUGGAUAAAGAAAAUUAGCCUCAACCUUGUGCACAAGUCAAGGUAUUAGAUAAUCUAACUUUCUUUUUUGUAACAAGUUUAUAUUUUGUGAAGGUUGUCACACAACUUAAAUGUAACAAUCACUUUUAAUAAAACAUCUGUGCAUAAUGUUGCUAGUAAUGU